GACAGAGGAGCCAAGCGUUGUCCGGACUGACUGGGCGUAAAGCGCACGCAGGCGGCUGGGCAAGUGGGGUGUGAAAGCGCGCGGCUUAACCGCGCGAUGCAUGCCAGACUGCUCAGCUCGAGCGAUGCAGAGGGUGGUGGAAUUGCCGGUGUAGUGGUGAAAUGCGUAGAGAUCGGCAGGAACACCGAGGGGGAAGCCAACCACCUGGGCAUCGGCUGACGCUGAGGUGCGAAAGCGUGGGGAGCGAACUGG
rnacentral:rRNA from 1 species